rnacentral:rRNA from 1 species
GACGAACCGUGCGAACGUUAUUCGGAAUCACUGGGCGUAAAGCGCACGUAGGCGGAUUGCUAAGUCAGGGGUGAAAUCCUGGAGCUCAACUCCAGAACUGCCUUUGAUACUGGCGAUCUUGAGUCCGGGAGAGGUGAGUGGAACUGCGAGUGUAGAGGUGAAAUUCGUAGAUAUUCGCAAGAACACCAGUGGCGAAGGCGGCUCACUGGCCCGGUACUGACGCUGAGGUGCGAAAGCGUGGGGAGCAAACAGG